AUAACGAGCGCAACCUCACUCAUUAGUUACCAUCAGGUAAGGCUGGGGACUCUAAUGAGACUGCCAUCGUAAGAUGUGAGGAAGGUGGGGAUGACGUCAAAUCAGCACGGCCCUUACGUCCGGGGCGACACACGUGUUACAAUGGGUGGUACAAAGGGCAGCUACCUGGCGACAGGAUGCUAAUCUACCAAAACCACUCUCAGUUCGGAUCGGAGUCUGCAACUCGACUCCGUGAAGCUGGAUUCGCUAGUAAUCGCGCAUCAGCCACGGCGCGGUGAAUACGUUCCCGGGCCUU
rnacentral:rRNA from 1 species